CCCAAAUCAAACAUCUGUUCCUUCCCAUUUCGUUUUCUCCUUCCUUUGUACUCUUCUUUCUUUCUUUCUUUCUUUCUCUGGGUGUGUGAGUGUCUAAGCCUUUGAGCUCCUUUGCACCACCAUUCUUGCUAUCCUCAAAAUCACUAUUCUGUUUCUUUAAAAUUCUUCUUGACGAAAUUUCCUUCUGUCCAACUUUCCUUUGGUUUCAGAUAGCAACGAGGAUUUGGAAAAAAUAUCCCCAAGACUUCCCAAAAACUUCUCCCCCUGAAAUCAAACAUCAAAAAUUUUAGGUCUCUGUCUCAAAUGACAUUCAGGUUUCACAGUCAACAAUGAGAACUAUUUCAACUUUUCAGCCACUUCUUCCACAGAUGAUUAUAUCUAUUUCAACGAGGAGAAAAUCAGAAUUGGGACUUUAUAGUUGAUCACCCAUAGCAAGGUAAGUUCUAAUUCUUGACUUUAAAAGCAAUAAUGGAAUGAUUUAUGCGAAAUUGAGACUGUUAUUGUGGUAAUGUUGGGAUUUUAGAAUGAAUGUACAAAUUCUUAUGAAAUUUGUCCACACAAAAAAAAUGCACAUAUCAUGUUCGAUAAAUUCUUAAGCUCAAAUUAUAAUUCUUUUUUGGGUGGGUUCUUUUUGUUUUUGUUGUUGUUAGUAUCAUUUUUCACUUAAUAUGAUACUUAGUCCAACACAUUUGAUAAUUAUUAAGGUUUAGAAUAAUUUUUUUUUCUUGAUUUUCAUUAUUAUUGAACUUAGAAUAGUAAAAUUAUAAUUUUCAAAAGUUUGAUGAGUAAAAAACUCUAAAGUAUACCAAGUGCAAACUUUAAGAAUAAAAGUAUGACUCAUUUCCAAUGGAGGUAGAAUAUCAUAAAGAAAUAUAGAAAGUCAAAUUGGUCUCUCAGUUUGGGUUAGAGCACGGGUAAAAGUUUCGGCCUGGUUUUAGCUCUUGCCAAAUUGCAACCUUGAUAUGAGCGGCGAAAUUUCCCUUUACUGGGUUUACUUUCUGCAGCUCAUUGAUUUGUUUUAGUGUAGUUCAAAACUGUUAGGAAGUGGUCAUGUCAGACAAGUAUUUUUAUUUACUAGCUGUGGUAAGACAAAAUACAUGGUUCCUGGAAAAUCAUGUAUUUCCUUGACUUAAAACUUCAUUCUAAACUCCCUCUUUUUAUACCCCAAAAGAAUUGCAUAUGUUUGUGCAGUGUUUUUUUCCCCAAUCUAAAUCAUCUUAGCAAUGGCUUAUGCCCCUCUUCAUCUCCUUUGCCUAUUAGUAUUUGUCUUGCAGGUGUGUCCUUUGUCGGAAAAGAGCUGUUUAUCUUACUGCAUGAUAAUAUAAAUUGAAUAAUAAUAAGCAUUUCGAAGAAAUUAGUAAUCCUUUCUGUAAGCCUUGCUCAUUGUUUUGAUUCCAGUAAUAAUGACUGCUUUAAGUAUUAAGAUUAUUAUUGCUUUUGCGCAAAAUAAAUAAUUACUGUUGAAUGAUUUACACGCAAAAGUAUCAUUAUUACUGUUGAUUGAACUGAACUCAUAUACUACUGUUGGAUACUGAUAUUUUCCUUACCUCUUAAUUGAACUGAACUCAUAUACUACUGUUGUGUCUCACUACUGCACUAUUUGCAUUAUAUUGACUUGAUUUUGGUGCUGACAGUAUAUGUAUAUUUCAAACAUCAGGCAAUAACAUCCGGAAGAAUUAAUAUAGAAAAGUCUGGCCUAUUAAAAGAAAAUGAAAUACUAAAAGGUAAAAAAGAACAGUAUUAAGGAACUUCGGGUUGAGAUCUUAUAAAGGGUAAUUUGAAAUUUAAAGUACCUUCAAUACCCAUAUGUAGGGGAAGUUCUGAUCCCUAAAACGGAAGAUGGGUCUGGUAAUAUGUGUUGGAGCAAGUAGUGGUUGGAAACCAUGUUUUAUUCCCCCCUGUUUUUGAUGAAUGUUUUACAUAAAAGUUACAUUUUUCAAGAGUUUAUAUUUUAAGUAGGAAGAAGCACCUAAAUUACUUCAGUUUUUCAAGAGUUUAUAUUUUGAUUAGGUGACGACCUUGGUCCAGUAGGUACUAUUGUUUUAAAAAGAGUUGAUAUUCCCAUGAUUUACUCGCAAAAUUAGAUUAAAUCUGAACCGUUAUUGUAUGAAAAAUACCAAGCUAAAAAGAAGAAAGAAGAUAAAAGAAAAAGAAAAGCCCCAUUUCACCUGGGUUGAGCUUGGUGAGAUAGAUUACUGACUUCUGACAUUGUCCGAUUUUAUGAAAAAUACCAAGCUAAAAACCAUUAAACUUAGCUUGACCUUCUUUAAGGGUGCGUGGAUGACACUUUCCUAUAAAAGGAAUGCUUGAUGACUCUUUCUAUAGUUUCGUUUUCAAACAACCUCUUACCAUGUAUUGGGUCUAAUUUUCCUUUUUUUAAUUGUACGAAUCAACUGAGUUAUGAAAUUUAGGUUGUCUUUUUCCUUAACUUUAGUUCUGAAAAUUGGAUGUGUAUGUACUUUUGUGUAUGUAUAUUAUGUAAUUCAUGUUCAUUAUCCAUAACUUAUGAAAUUUAUUGUCUAGCUACAACCGUUUCAACUGCACAAUCAUCGACCAAUGGAUGAUGUUGUUAUAUUUUGUGGUGUAAGUUUAUUAUCUGAUUAACUCUCUCUAAAUAAAUCUUAUUGAUUUUUUUUUGCUUUUAAGUAGCAUUUUCUUACCCUGAAGGAGGAAAAAAGGUCUGAUACUUUGGAGAAUGCCAAAUUUAAGGAGAAAGAAAAAUCAACCUUUUCUAGCCAAGGAACAAAAUAUAAAGAGUGCCAACUGGUAUCACUUUUAAUCAUAUUCUCUAUUUUCUGCAUGUAUGUAUUUUUUGUGUUCUGCCUUUUGUAAAGUUAGCUAAUUAUACUUGGUUAUAAUGAUUUUGGGUAUGGAAUGAUGGUUUAUUUGGUGGUUUGGAUAUGUAUGGAUGAUUGUAAGUUUUGUAAACAUGUUUAGAUUUUUCUGGAUAUCUAUUUUUAAAGAAAACUCUGCCG
rnacentral:lncRNA from 1 species